rnacentral:rRNA from 1 species
UGGGGAAUUUUGCGCAAUGGACGAAAGUCUGACGCAGCAACGCCGCGUGGGUGACGAAGGUCUUCGGAUCGUAAAACCCUGUCGUCAGGGACGAAGGUAGGGAGUUUAAUACGCUCUUUGCUUGACGGUACCUGGAGAGGAAGCCCCGGCUAACUCUGUGCCAGCAGCCGCGGUAAUACAGAGGGGGCAAGCGUUAUUCGGAAUUAUUGGGCGUAAAGGGCGCGUAGGCGGUUCUGUAAGUAGGAUGUGCAAUCCCCGAGCUCAACUUGGGAACUGCAUCCUAGACUGCAAGACUAAAGUGCUGGAGAGGGUGGUAGAAUUCCACGUGUAGCGGUGAAAUGCGUAGAGAUGUGGAGGAAUACCAGUGGCGAAGGCGGCCACCUGGACAGUAACUGACGCUGAGGCGCGAAAGUGUGGGUAGCAAACAGGAUUAGAUACCCUGGUAGUCCACGCUGUAAACGAUGAACACUUGGUGUGGCGGGAGUUGACCCCUGCCGUGCCGGAGCUAACGCGUUAAGUGUUCCGCCUGGGGAGUACGGUCGCAAGGCUG